CAUAUAUGGCAAGCCACGGAGUGUCGAAUAGUUAUGUUUACAGCGCAGCUUAAGGCAUCCUUUGCUGCCUCGACUGUUUGUCUUCAGCUUCUUUUUAGUUUUAUUUUUGAAUGCGCAAGAUAAAGCGACACACGUGGCCCUGUAUCGAGGACAGCAAUCGGGAGGGAAAAAGAAAAGACACGCGAUACGUAAAGAAACGCGCUUAAAACGUCCGCGCAAGCGAGUAGUAAUUGGCAAACGUCGCGACACACUCACUUAUCUCGCAUUUACGACGGGCACGAGUGUUUUAUUUUGAUUUUUCUUGCUUUUUCGUGCCUCGUGCGACUCGGUGACCCCUACCGGCUGACGGGAACGCUUUCUCUUCCGUAAUCUCGCACGUGAGAGAUAACGGACCCACCUGACCUCGCGCGCCGACGAAUUCCGAUAGAGCGCACGCAGGACAGAACACCGGCGCCGCCGGUCUCGAGAGAAGCCAGCGAACGACCAAGGGCAAACACCGGCACUUCAUUUAGAGCGCACAUCUCUCUUCGCUUGGCGUCGACUCGGAUUUCGGGACUGCGGAGAGCCUUGAGUAUGCGCCAUACACUUCCAAAACCACUUCCAGUAUGCAGCGGACUACAUAAAGCUGCCCAGCUCUUGCGAAGAAACGAGAUCCGCAUGAAGAAGCUGUUUUGUAUGCCUUCGUAGGGCUGCAUCAAUGGGUUGUACAGAAUCCAGUAGGUGCAUCGUUUAGAGCGCUGUGCCCGCCUGUAAGCACGGCGUCGACAUGUGCGGAGCCGAAAAAGCUUAAGGAUGGAGAAUGGAGCGCUCACGUUGACAAUGGAGUGUAGGCCCGUAACACUCGCGGCCAUAGCGGCGGAAAUUGAACAUCCUUCCAACCGCAGGCAUCACGUAGUAUAUGUAAAUUUGUAAGUUUAGGAGUAUCAAAAGCUUAAGCAAGUUGGUUCGUACACAUU